rnacentral:rRNA from 1 species
UACGGGGGGAGCAAGCGUUGUUCGGAUUUACUGGGCGUAAAGGGCGCGUAGGCGGCACUGCAAGUCAGUUGUGAAAUCUCCGGGCUCAACCUGGGAACUGCAUUUGUGACUGCAUGGCUAGAGUACGGUAGAGGGGGAUGGAAUUCCGCGUGUAGCAGUGAAAUGCGUAGAUAUGCGGAGGAACACCGAUGGCGAAGGCAAUCCCCUGGACCUGUACUGACGCUCAUGCACGAAAGCGUGGGGAGCAAACAGG